rnacentral:rRNA from 1 species
UACGAAGGGUGCAAACGUUGCUCGGAAUCAUUGGGCGUAAAGCGCACGUAGGCGGCUUGCCAAGUCGGACGUGAAAUCCCUCAGCUCAACUGAGGACGUGCAUCCGAAACUGGCGAGCUUGAGUACUGAAGAGGAUCGCGGAAUUCCCGGUGUAGAGGUGAAAUUCGUAGAUAUCGGGAGGAACACCAGUGGCGAAGGCGGCGAUCUGGGAAGAUACUGACGCUGAGGUGCGAAAGCGUGGGGAGCAAACAGG